GGUGGCUCAAUGGUAGAGUGCUUGCCUCAUAUGCAUGAGGCCCUGGGUUCAAUUCCUCAGCC
rnacentral:tRNA from 1 species